GGGGGCGACCUGGUUUCGACAGGGGUUGCGAAGCGGCCAGGGCAUACCGAGGACCCGUCACCUCGUUAAUCAAUGGGAAAAACGUAACUGCAAACGACGAUACGUUCGCACUGGCAGCCUAAGGGCCGCCGUCCUCUGCCUAGUUCACUGACGGGCUAGUGUCGCAAGACCGGUAGCAAUACCGACAGAGGUCAUAUACGUCAGUUAAGUCCUGGUGGCGUCACGACGCCAGGGUCGAAAAUUUAGUGAAUCGCUGUAACGAAGCGUGUUCGUCCGCGUCGUUGCGGCUAAAUCAAAAGACAGAACUAAGUAUGUAGAACUGGUCGUAGAGCGCUACUGGACGCGGGUUCGAUUCCCGCCGCCUCCACCA
rfam:Burkholderia glathei strain DSM 50014 contig41, whole genome shotgun sequence.